GACGAACGCUGGCGGCGUGCUUAACACAUGCAAGUCGAACGGAGUGGCGAACGGGUGAGUAACACGUGGGUGACCUGCCCUGCACUUCGGGAUAAGCCUGGGAAACUGGGUCUAAUACCGGAUAGUGUGGGAUGGGCCCGCGGCCUAUCAGCUUGUUGGUGGGGGAAUGGCAUACCAAGGCGGCGACGGGUAGCCGGCCUGGGAGGGUGGACGGCAACAAUGGGACUGAGGGACGGCCCAGACUCCAACGGGAGGCAGCGGGGGGGAAUCUUGCACAAUGAGGGGAAGCGUGAUGCGACGACGCCGGGUUGGUGAUGACGGCCUUCGGGUGGUAAACUCCUUUCACCAUCGACGCGGUAGAUGGAGAAGAAGCACCGGCUAACUACGUGCCAGCAGCCGCGGUAAUAC
rnacentral:rRNA from 1 species